GAUGAACGCUGGCGGCGUGCCUAAUACAUGCAAGUCGAGCGAACGGACGAGAAGCUUGCUUCUCUGAUGUUAGCGGCGGACGGGUGAGUAACACGUGGAUAACCUACCUAUAAGACUGGGAUAACUUCGGGAAACCGGAGCUAAUACCGGAUAAUAUUUUGAACCGCAUGGUUCAAAAGUGAAAGACGGUCUUGCUGUCACUUAUAGAUGGAUCCGCGCUGCAUUAGCUAGUUGGUAAGGUAACGGCUUACCAAGGCAACGAUGCAUAGCCGACCUGAGAGAGUGAUCGGCCACACUGGAACUGAGACACGGUCCAGACGCCUACGGGAGGCAGCAGUAGGGAAUCUUCCGCAAUGGGCGAAAGCCUGACGGAGCAACGCCGCGUGAGUGAUGAAGGUCUUCGGAUCGUAAAACUCUGUUAUUAGGGAAGAACAUAUGUGUAAGUAACUGUGCACAUCUUGACGGUACCUAAUCAGAAAGCCACGGCUAACUACGUG
rnacentral:rRNA from 1 species